AUGAGUAAUAAGACUGUUACAGUGCAGUUAUAUAGUAGUUUAUCUAUACAUGAUCAGGUCUCAUUAUCCAGCCCAUCUGACUUUGUGGGCGUUUGCUGCACGGCUGCCCCCCCCCCUCCCUGUGCGGUUUACGCCUGCCCCCCCCCCCGUUGCUGUUUACGUCACCCCCCCGUGCUGUUACGUCACCCCCCCCCCGUGCUGUUUACGUCACCCCCCCCGUGCUGUUUACGUCACCCCCCCGUGCUGUUUACGUCACCCCCCCGUGCUGUUUACGUCACCCCCCCGUGCUGUUUACGUCACCCCCCCUGCUGUUUUACGUCACCCCCCCCUGCUGUUUACGUCACCCCCCCGUGCUGUUUACGUCACCCCCCCGUGCUGUUUACGUCACCCCCCCGUGCUGUUUACGUCACCCCCCCGUGCUGUUUACGUCACCCCCCCGUGCUGUUUACGUCACCCCCCCGUGCUGUUUACGUCACCCCCCCGUGCUGUUUACGUCACCCCCCCGUGCUGUUUACGUCACCCCCCCGUGCUGUUUACGUCACCCCCCCGUGUUUACGUCACCCCCCCGUGCUGUUUCGUCACCCCCCGUGCUGUUUACGUCCCCCCCGUGCUGUUUACGUCCACCCCCCCUUGCUGUUUACGUCACCCCCCGUGCUGUUUACGUCACCCCCCGUGCUGUUUACGUCACCCCCCCGUGCUGUUUACGUCACCCCCCGUGCUGUUACGUCACCCCCCCGUGCUGUUUACCCCCCCCCGUGCUGUUUACGUCACCCCCCGUGCUGUUUACGUCACCCCCCCCGUGCUGUUUACUCACCCCCCCGUGCUGUUUACGUCACCCCCCGUGCUGUUUACGUCCCCCCCGUGCUGUUUACGUCACCCCCCGUUGCUUUUACGUCACCCCCCCCGUGCUGUUUACGUCACCCCCCGUGCUGUUUAAGUCACCCCCCCGUGCUGUUUACGUCACCCCCCCGUGCUGUUUACGUCACCCCCCCGUGCUGUUUACGUCACCCCCCGUGCUGUUUACGUCACCCCCCCGUGCUGUUUACGUCAGUGUCCCUGUCCCACCACCAUUUGUUGCCUUGCUUUAAUCAGGCCCAGAAGAAAGCCGUUGUAUUUUGGCCCGUCUGUCAUCGGAGGCCGUCCCUGAUAACGCUAUAA
rnacentral:lncRNA from 1 species